CAAUAGCGUAUAUUAAAGUUGUUGCGGUUAAAAGCUCGUAGUUGGAUUUCUACCGAAGACAGCCGGUCCACACUACGUGUGCGCAUCUGGUGUGACUUCGGUAUCCUCAUGGAGAACAGUUCUGCACUUUAUUGUGUGGACUGGUAUUCAUGACUUUUACUUUGAGGAAAUUAGAGUGUUCACGGCAGGCAAUCGCCCUGAAUACAUUAGCAUGGAAUAAUAAUAUAGGACUUCGGCCCUAUUUUGUUGGUUUCUAGAGCUGAAGUAAUGAUUAAUAGGGACACUUGGGGGCAUUCGUAUUAUCACGUCAGAGGUGGAAUUCUUGGAUUGUGUUACGACGAACUACUGCGAAAGCAUUUGCCAAGGAUGUUUUCAUUGAUCAAGAACGAAAGAUAGGGGAUCGAAGACGAUCAGAUACCAU
rnacentral:rRNA from 1 species